AUCCUCUCUGGCCUUUUGGCUUAGAUCAUGUGUAGUAUCUGUUCUUAUAAGUUUAACCACUUAUAUGGGUCCACCGGACCCAUCUGGUUUACUUCUUUUUGCCUUGCCCGUCCGGCCAUCCUCUGCUUGCACGACGGCCGGACACGAUGACCUUGCCACUGCACUGCCGGCUUGUGUUGUCAGGGACC
rnacentral:snRNA from 1 species